AAUGUUGAGUCCGUGGUACGUUCUUCAACGGACAGCGGCGUGCUUACCAAAUGACAACUGAUUUUGAGGUGCUUAUUGAAGAGUUUGAGAAACUUGAAUUAGAAAUUGCACCAACCGGAGAAGAUGAGGAUGAGUCUGGUGUGGAUUCAGAUUAAGCAUGGUGGCUGUUUGGUUUUUAUUUGUUUUAAAGUGAAUGUUUCGGUUUAAAGUGUGUUUAUUUUUGUUGUUUUGCUAGACAUUUUUAAUUAUCUUUAUUUUAUGUUUAAUUAAGUUGAAUUUGUAUUGGAUUUGGAUGUGAUAUACUCUUGUUAUUCUAGUUUAUUGAAGGUUUUAAACUUCAUUUUAUG